AAGUCAACCCACACAAAUAUACUUUGCUUCUUACUUGAUUUCCCAUGCAGCCAAUAACUAUGAAUCAAACAUGGGUUGUUGUUUAAUAAGUUGACAAGCAUUGACAACAUUAAAAUUUUCUUAAAAUAAAUCACAGUUUCAUGAACAUUUUGUAACU